AGAGUUUGAUCAUGGCUCAGAACGAACGCUGGCGGCAGGCUUAACACAUGCAAGUCGAACGCGAAAUCACCUUCGGGUGGUGGAGAGUGGCAGACGGGUGAGUAACGCGUGGGAAUCUACCUGAUGGUACGGAAUAACUCAGGGAAACUUGAGCUAAUACCGUAUGUGCCCGAGAGGGGAAAGAUUUAUCGCCAUCAGAUGAGCCCGCGUCGGAUUAGCUAGUUGGUGGGGUAAAAGCCCACCAAGGCGACGAUCCGUAGCUGGUCUGAGAGGAUGAUCAGCCACACUGGGACUGAGACACGGCCCAGACUCCUACGGGAGGCAGCAGUGGGGAAUAUUGGACAAUGGGCGCAAGCCCUGAUCCAGCCAUGCCGCGUGAGUGAUGAAGGCCCUAGGGUUGUAAAGCUCUUUCGACGGGGACGAUAAUGACGGUACCCGUAGAAGAAGCCCCGGCUAACUUCGUG
rnacentral:rRNA from 1 species